UUCUAGGGUGUAAAAAAAACUCCCUGUUCUGAUAGUUACAUGUUUGGAUGAGCUUACUUUCGCAAGCAAAACUAAAAUAUAUAUUUCAAAUGUCUCCUAGCCAAUGUCAUUAAGUAUGCAGAGGUGGAAAGUUCAGAGGUCAGAAAGUAAAAGUCCUGCCAUGUGUUUCUUCCACCCAUGAACUCAGCCCAGCUGAUUUCACUAAUUAGUUCUACCUCCUGGCUGAAUGAAUGUGCUAAUUAGAAAAUCCAGGUGAUUGGAACAACAUACUGCAGAGAGGACUUGUACUGUUUUGAACCUGGAUUUUCCACCUCUCUUCUGCUUAACCCAUAUUUGUGGCCGACGUGGGAAUAAGGACUUCUGCUCAAUCCGCAUCAUAUGCAGCGCUCGGGACGGGGAGGUGAAGCGGGGCAGAGGGGAAAUUUGACCCGCAGCUCUGCAGACAAUGGCGGACAUUUCCAGACUUACAGGAGGACAAGGAGCUUGCCUAGCUGACUGCGUUGAAUCUGCAUGGGCGGGCCACCCCACCAAAAUGGCGCACGGAUUUCCACAUUUCAGCCAGAUUCUGCGUAUCCAAAACAUCUCUGUGUGAUACGGGCCCAUUCCUUCAAGACACAGUCAAAAUUUACUCAGCUGAAUGAAGGGGACCACAAGUGCAGCAUCGCCAACGCCCAACAAACAAAAAAAGGAAAAGGUUUUUGGGAACUGCCUGCGGGAACUCACCUGACCAGCAGGGGGCACUGGUGCACAAUGCGUUGCUAUCCCAGCCGACUGAAACCCUCCCAUCCCUGGGAGAUGCUGGAGUCAACUGUGCCUCACCCUAUGGGUCUACACUAGCAUGGCUUGGACUCAACUGUGCUUGACCCUAUGGGUCUACAAUACCAUGGCUUGGACUCAGCUGUGGCUCAACUUAUGGGUCUACACUAGCAUGGCCUGGCAAUAGCAUGGUUUGGAUUCAGUACUAGACCAUGGUGCCCAUACAUGCACUGGAGCAGUGCCUUAUCAAUGCCAUUCUGCAGCCCCUCCUACGCUUUACAACUGAGGAGCUAGAAGAAAAUCAAAAUGGUCUGUUAGUAAAAGACAAGUGAGUUCCACUCAAAUAUUUCAUGUGAAUAAACGUAAUUACAAUAAUAACGCUUAAAAAGUUUAAGACCGCUACCAGCAUAAGCUCUUAAAAUCAGAAAAAAACAAGAGGUAGAACAUCAUGGCGUGCACAUUUUGUGUGGGGAGGCCGUUUUCGUGAAAUGGCUCUUUCCAUAUGGGGGUGUGGCGGACAAACUUGGGACUGAUUGAAAUAACACAUGUUACAGUUACACAUAUGACAUUUUCACCUGGUGAGCAAAGAACAGAUCUCUAAAAUUUCUCUCGGACAAAAGUCCACAAGCAGCAGUGCAUGUGUAAAACGAACUUGUGCCUUGCGCUACUUGAUUACAAUUACAUUUUUUAACAAAAACUAAAAUGACAUUGGGAUUUGGAUAUUUAGUGUUUAAAACAAAAAAUAUUAAAUUAGAUGCUUUAACACCAAACCAGAGUUGUGGAUCUCAAAUAAAACUUUGAAACAGGCACCCCUCAUUUUAAAUCACAUUAAAAAUAUAUAUAAAAAGUGACCUCUGACUCACCUGGUGCCCCCCCCCCCCACGAGACUCACAUACACAAACCCCGCAAGAGAUUAAACUCCGAGAAAAAGAGAGUGAGGAAUAAAAGGAAGGAGGGAAUAAGACGGAGGGAAAUAAAGUGAAAAAACAGAGGAGGAGAAGAAGGAGACCGGGUCUAGCAGGAAUUCGGCGGAGAGGGGGAAAGAAACGAGAGGAGAAAACCAGGGAGCCGAGAGCUGUUGUGUUUAUGCAGUCUCCUUCAAAGGGGCGCCUGAUUCGUUUUCCAUACCGCCUGCGACAGCGCUGGCUGCAGGCUUCAGACCCACGUUAGCGCUAGCUGCAGGCUUCAGACCCACGUUAGCGCUAGCUGCAGGCUUCAGACCCACGUUAGCGCUAGCUGCAGGCUUCAGGCCCACGUUAGCACUAGCUGCAGGCUUCAGUGCGCACAUUAGCGCUAGCUGCAGGCUUCAGGCCCACGUUAGCGCUAGCUGCAGGCUUCAGGCCCACGUUAGCGCUAGCUGCAGGCUUCAGGCCCGUGUUAGCGCUUCCUGCAGGCUUCAGGCCCGCGUUAGCGCUAGCUGCAGGUUUCAGGCCCACGUUAGCGCUAGCUGCAGGCUUCAGGCCCACGUUAGCGCUGGCUGCAGGCUUCAGGCCCGUGUUAGUGCUUCCUGCAGGCUUCAGGCCCGUGUUAGCGCUUCCUGCAGGCUUUGGGGUCACGUUAGCGCUAGCUGCAGGUUUCAGGCCCACGCUAGCGCUAGCUGCAGGCUUCAGGCCCACGUUAGCGCUGGCUGCAGGCUUCAGGCCUGGUUAGCGCUUCCGAGCUUAGCGCACAUCCUGCAUGUCGCAUGUCCGCGAGCUUCAGCUAACGUGCUCGCCUGCCGUUAUGAAAUUUGAUCCGAAUAAAAAAUAUUAAGAUCAUAUACUUUUCUGCCAGAGUACAAUAUUUGUAGUAAAAACACAGAUAAAUACAUAAAUAAUAAAUAAAUACAUUUUUAAAUGGUGGUCCUUUAGCACAUCAUGACACAUAUUGUUAUUCUUUCUGCUUCGUUAAUAUUGAGUCCCGCCCCAGUCUGUUUACUUGUAUCUCUUUCUCCAAAGUUGUCUCAUUCCAAAAUACUAAUGAUGUUACAAUAUAUUACAAAAUGUGUAAGUAACUAGCAAAUGUAAAAUGAAAUAUAUAGACAAGUGAAAAAAUAAAUGAGUUAAAAAAACAAACCUGAAUAUAAUGUUGUUUCCAGGGAACUGCAAUCACCUUCAGUUGGAUGAUUAGGAAACAAUGGAAUAACUUGGCUAGCAAGGACUACACUACACAUGAACAUGCUUUGCCCUAUUGGACGUUUGUCUUGUUUCUUGAGGACAAAUAAGAAAAAGACACUGAGCACUUCUUUCCCCAGAGUUACACCCAAAGGUCCACAAUUUUAAACUCAACACAGAUUUAAAUUUUAACUCUUUCACAAAUCCGGCCAGAUACUUCUGCUCAGGUAAAAUUCUUUCUUAUAGCCAGUCUUUUGUUAACGAACAUGCGUUUUUUUUCCUGGACUUGUUUCCAGGUAUUCCCUAUCUGAAAUUCAGUAGUGAGCAAACUUGUUGCCUUUUAUAAUUUGAUGGACACGCGUAUUUCAAAACAGGAUAAGUAUCACAUGUACCUAAUUUUAUUAGCCCUCCCACUCACACUUUAAAAAUUUCAAAAUCAUCCCAAAAAUAUGUCAUCAUGUCAUAUGUAAUCAUGUUUUAAACCUUACCAAAAUGUAAAAAGCUUCUGUAUUCGACACCAGUCAUGCCCCACACAAGCUUGCUUAGUCAUCGUAUCUGGCUAAGAAGGGGUCCCCACUGGUUUAUGCGCCCCCCCCCCCCCAAAAAAAAGAAAAAAAACAGGGUCAAUGUCACAACUCUCCUUGGCCAUCUACAGUACACGGUCAGCGGCAGGCCAAGAUGCUCCUGUUUUCUCAAUGACAGCCUGUCUGCGAAUCGUCCCCUGUGAAGGACAUCACUCCCUCUUCCAAAUCGUUGUUCCACGUUUCAAAGUUUCUGCGUUGUCUAACGAUGGUUUUACUGUCAAGAUGUGCCCCUGUUCCUCUCUGCUUUUAAAACGAUUUUAAAAAAUAAUUGACUAAAUAGAAAAAUAAAUGGACUUGCUUUGAGAGAUAAUAUGUGUGCUAAUAUAUUUAAGUGGUAGUUAACAGAAUUCUAAUUCGUAUUAAUAAUGACUUAAAAAGAUAAAUAGCAAAUAAACAUAACUGAUCUUACCAUUAGUCCUGAAUACUGGUUUUAAUGCAGCCACGUGCAGUACACAUUUUUUAUGGGGCAGCUACUUUAAAAUACAAAUUGAAACUAAAGUAGAUCCUAAAAAAAUAAAAAAACCAGGAUACCAGCAGUGAUAUUCCACAAUUAUAAAUCAGAGCCGAAGAGUUACUGUCUGCUAUAAAGGGAUUUGUUGCUUGCAAUUAGCUAGAAGCCCCAAUGGACUUAAGGGCCCAGAAGCUACUGCUUUUGUAGUUCCACACUGUUGAACUAACUGAUGUUUGUCUGUCAAAAUUAUGAAGAAUUUCCCUUUGAUACUGGCUUAAUGCCAGUGACAGCCUCGUUCUUUGUUUAAAUAGUUCUGGAAAGUCCCUCGAUAUAUAAAAUAAUGAUGUUAUUAUGUUUUAAAAGUUUAAAAUAUUGUUUUUGUUUCGGAACAUCAAAUAUAUAUUUCGUGUAGUUUUUGGGUCUACUCCUAGGAAAAUUACAUUUUUCCCCCGGUUUUCCGUUCCCUUCUCUGAACCCGUUGUAUUCCCUUAUCCCAUAGAUUGAAAAACGUCUGGCUGUAUGCUUUGUGUCUAAUAUGAGAUAUUAUAAGAUUGAUUAAAAAAACUGAAACCACAAAGGUUUAUGCAGUGAAAUGUUGUCAGCACGAACCAUUUUAUGAAAUACCAAUCUCUGAAUCUCGAGUAUCAGUUGACUGUGAUUGGUCUCUGACAUAGCUAAUGGUGACACGGAAUAAUGUCCGUACGGUAUGUUCACCCUACUUACGUAAACAAACAAUGAAUUCUAUUGAGAACAAGACAGUCUUAACCGUCUGGAAUGCUUUUA